GUGUCAGCAGCCGCGGUAAUACGUAGGUGGCAAGCGUUGUCCGGAUUUACUGGGCGUAAAGGAUGCGUAGGUGGAUAUUUAAGUGGGAUGUGAAAUACCCGGGCUCAACUUGGGUGCUGCAUUCCAAACUGGAUAUCUAGAGUGCAGGAGAGGAAAGUGGAAUUCCUAGUGUAGCAGUGAAAUGCGUAGAUAUUAGGAGGAACACCAGUGGCGAAGGCGACUUUCUGGACUGUAACUGACACUGAGGCAUGAAAGCGUGGGGAGCAAACAGGAUUAGAUACCCUGGUAGUCCACGCCGUAAACGAUGGGUACUAGGUGUAGGAGGGUCGAACCUUCUGUGCCGUCGUUAACACAUUAAGUACCCCGCCUGGGGAGUACGGUCGCAAGAUUAAA
rnacentral:rRNA from 1 species